rnacentral:misc_RNA from 1 species
AAGAGUUGCAAAACUCCCAACCAUUGUGAACGAACCGUAAUGCCCAGCGGGGCGGUGCCUGGCACCCCCGGCGCGGUAUGAAACUCUUAUUCAGUGAAUCUCCGAGUAGCUUAUUUAAUAAGUCA